CAGUCGCCGCGGUAAUACAGAGGGUGCGAGCGUUAAUCGGAUUUACUGGGCGUAAAGCGUGCGUAGGCGGCUUUUUAAGUCGGAUGUGAAAUCCCUGAGCUUAACUUAGGAAUUGCAUUCGAUACUGGGAAGCUAGAGUAUGGGAGAGGAUGGUAGAAUUCCAGGUGUAGCGGUGAAAUGCGUAGAGAUCUGGAGGAAUACCGAUGGCGAAGGCAGCCAUCUGGCCUAAUACUGACGCUGAGGUACGAAAGCAUGGGGAGCAAACAGGAUUAGAGACCCCAGUAGUCCCUGUCUCUUAUAU
rnacentral:rRNA from 1 species